rnacentral:rRNA from 1 species
AUUGAACGCUGGCGGCAGGCCUAACACAUGCAAGUCGAGCGGUAGCACAAGAGAGCUUGCUCUCUGGGUGACGAGCGGCGGACGGGUGAGUAAUGUCUGGGAAACUGCCUGAUGGAGGGGGAUAACUACUGGAAACGGUAGCUAAUACCGCAUAACGUCUUCGGACCAAAGUGGGGGACCUUCGGGCCUCACGCCAUCAGAUGUGCCCAGAUGGGAUUAGCUAGUAGGUGGGGUAAUGGCUCACCUAGGCGACGAUCCCUAGCUGGUCUGAGAGGAUGACCAGCCACACUGGAACUGAGACACGGUCCAGACUCCUACGGGAGGCAGCAGUGGGGGAUAUUGCACAAUGGGCACAAGCCUGAUGCAGCCAUGCCGCGUGUGUGAAGAAGGCCUUCGGGUUGUAAAGCACUUUCAGCGAGGAGGAAGGGUGGUGUGUUAAUAGCACAUCACAUUGACGUUACUCGCAGAAGAAGCACCGGCUAACUCCGUGCCAGCAGCCGCGGUAAUACGGAGGGUGCAAGCGUUAAUCGGAAUUACUGGGCGUAAAGCGCACGCAGGCGGUUUGUUAAGUCAGAUGUGAAAUCCCCGCGCUUAACGUGGGAACUGCAUUUGACACUGGCAAGCUAGAGUCUUGUAGAGGGGGGUAGAAUUCCAGGUGUAGCGGUGAAAUGCGUAGAGAUCUGGAGGAUACCGGCGGCGAAGGCGGCCCCCUGUACAAAGACUGACGCUCAGUGCGAAAGCGUGGGGAGCAAAC